UUCCCAACCAGAGCGGGAGGAGGAAUUCAUGAGGACAAAGGAUCACCACUCCUUAAGAAGCUGGACCAUGGAAGCAAACAGAUUAGAUAGGACCAGCAAGGUAACCGCUGGCUGUCUCAGACUGACACAGGGGCUCAGGCAUGUUUAAACGCAGAGGGAAGUGCCAGUUGGAGAGGAAGAGGCGGCACAGCAGGGAUUUCCCAGGAGGAAGGUACAUGCAAAUCUCCAGGCUACAUUUGUGGGUGUGACAGAGCCUAGGCAGAACCAAGCCACACUGAAUCAACCAGGCACAAAGGGCGGGAUGCUCCAAGGUCACACAGAGCCACAGAUGACGAUUUCCCACCAGAGCUCUGCCCAGGGCCUCAUCUCUCCAGAAAGAAGUCUGAAGUCUGAGGCUCAGAUAAUUAACUGGCCAUAUGGACCUCCUCAGGGUGCUGAGGGUAGCCACCCUGAGUUCCUGAGAACGAGGCAUCUAUGGCCUCCAGAAGCAGGGGAUUCCUUCUGAUCAAUGGCCAUGGGAUGGAGAGUUAGAGGGUGUGCCCAGGAGAGGCCAGCCCUGGCUCACCUUGCUCAGCAGGCAAUGGUCUAAGUCUCCCUCUGGAAGAGACUUCAUGGCUUCUUGGUCAACCCCCAGUAUAGCAGCAACCUUCUGCUUUCUUUCCCGAUGGAGGACAAAUCUGGUGGGUAGCUUUCCCAGCAACGUUACUCUCUGGAUAAAACUUCUCUGGAAUUGUGAACGUGGACCAGAGACUUGACUUCUUCUUGCCUGCUCACUGCAGUUUUCCUUUCCAGCAUGGAAGAAUUCAUCUGCCAUCUUUCAGGGAACUGUAGAAAGACUAAAAAGGAGACGUGAUGAAAACGAGUUGGAACUUAUCCUGUUUUUUUUUUUUUUUUCUUUAUCCUGUUGUCCUGGCACCAGGUGCACCUUGGUGCCCAGUACCUUACAUCUCCCCGUCCUUACCUUGUUGACAGUAAAUAUCCCUUGGCCCUC